rnacentral:snoRNA from 1 species
CUGGCCCUGAAUCAAGGCUGGCAGCUUCCUGAUGCUGUUGGUUUCAAGCAAGAGCCUAAAGAGAUGUUUUUCUUUUCUUUUCUUUUAACCUCAAGAUGAGAAUUAAAAAGAGAUGUUUUUCUAUGGUCUAGUGGCCAUUUCAGAACUUGGGCAGUGAAAUCGUCAAUUCAUUAGAAAGAAACAGCU